rnacentral:rRNA from 1 species
GCGAAACUGCGAAUGGCUCAUUAAAUCAGUUAUCGUAUAUUUGAUAGUACCUACUACAUGGAUAACCGUGGUAAUUCUAGAGCUAAUACAUGCUUAAAAUCCCGACUUCGGAAGGGAUGUAUUUAUUAGAUUAAAAACCAAUGCCCUUCGGGGCUCACUGGUGAUUCAUAAUAACUUCUCGAAUCGCAUGGCCUUGUGCCGGCGAUGGUUCAUUCAAAUUUCUGCCCUAUCAACUUUCGACGGCUGGGUAUUGGCCAGCCGUGGUUACAACGGGUAACGGAGGGUUAGGGCUUGACCCCGGAGAAGGAGCCUGAGAAACGGCUACUACAUCCAAGGAAGGCAGCAGGCGCGCAAAUUACCCAAUCCCGAUACGGGGAGGUAGUGACAAUAAAUACUGAUACAGGGCUCUUUUGGGUCUUGUAAUUGGAAUGAGUACAAUUUAAAUCCCUUAACGAGGAACAAUUGGAGGGCAAGUCUGGUGCCAGCAGCCGCGGUAAUUCCAGCUCCAAUAGCGUAUAUUAAAGUUGUUGCAGUUAAAAAGCUCGUAGUUGAACCUUGGGCCUGGCUGGCCGGUCUGCCUCACCGCAUGCACUGGUCCGGCCGGGUCUUUCCCUCUGGGGAUCCGCAUGCCCUUCAUUGGGUGUGUCGGGGAACCAGGACUUUUACUGUGAAAAAAUUAGAGUGUUCAAAGCAGGCCUAUGCUCGAAUACAUUAGCAUGGAAUAAUAGAAUAGGACGUGUGGUUCUAUUUUGUUGGUUUCUAGGACCGCCGUAAUGAUUAAUAGGGACAGUCGGGGGCAUCAGUAUUCAAUCGUCAGAGGUGAAAUUCUUGGAUCGAUUGAAGACUAACUACUGCGAAAGCAUUUGCCAAGGAUGUUUUCAUUAAUCAGGAACGAAAGUUAGGGGAUCGAAAACGAUCAGAUACCGUUGUAGUCUUAACCAUAAACUAUGCCGACUAGGGAUCGGACGAUGUUAUUUCUUGACUCGUUCGGCACCUUACACGAAAGUAAAGUU